GUUAUUGCACUGAUUUUGCAAAGAUUACGUAUAAAUUCAAUAUAAAAUUAACUGAAAAAAGAUGAGUGAUACGAAUAUAAAAGAAAUAGUUGUUGCGGCGAUAGAUUUUGGAACGACGUUUUCCGGUUACGCUUACUCUUGGAGGGAGGAGUACUUACAAGAUCCACUGAAGAUCUACGCAAAUCGUUGGGAAGGCGAGACACUUCUGCAGGCACCAACCGUAGUAUUGUUUAACAGUGAUGAGACGGAAUCUUACUUUGGAUUUGAGGCAGAAAAUAAAUACGCUGAACUUAUAGAAGAAGACGAGCAUAAAAAAUUGGCAUUAUUUCCGAAGGUUCAAAAUGGAUCUUCAUAGAAAGAAGCAGAUGCACAAGGUAAAACGAUGCCUGCGAACACAGUUUUUGCCGCUGCCAUGAGACAUUUGAAAAACCAUUUUAUGGAACAGGCUCAAGAAAGGGUUGAGCUCGAGAAGCAUGAAGUUCGAUGGGUGAUUACCGUCCCUGCAAUCUGGAACGAUGCUGCUAAACAAGUCAUGAUAGAAGCGGCUAAAUUGGCUGGAACAAGAAAAGAUAAAUUAACACUUGCAUACGAGCCGGAAGCUGCGGCUAUUUACUGCAAACAAAUAAGACUUGCAAACCUUAGAGAACAGGGCAAAGAUGCAACAAUUCAACCAUUUCCGCCGGGAUUUAAGUUUCUCGUUCUCGAUCUUGGAGGUGGAACUGUUGACAUUACCGCACAUGAAGUGCAAAGAGACGGCACUCUGCAGGCACUGAUUGAACCUUCAGGCGGUGAAUGGGGAGGCACCCUUGUCGAUGAUGGUUUUUUACGUAUAUUCGAAGGCCUCUUUGGGACGGAUUUUAUGACAGACCUAAAGACAAAUAUUAAAAUCGCUGACUCCAAACGUGAACUGGAUGCCGAAAUUGAAAUAAAAAAGAAAACAAUUGUUGGAAAAAGGCAUAAGAACUUCAAGGCUGAAGGCGUUAUUACAUUUAGACUACCACAUGCAAUGAAGAAAGCAAAAAAGUCUGCUCAGUUGAAAAGCGCUCUGGCUAGCGAACAUUUCAUGGGAAAGCUGAGCUUAAAGAGGAUAAAAUUCGGAUUCACAAUUCCUUCUUGUUGUCUGCCUUUGAAAAUUCAGUUUCAAAAAUAGUAGCACAUCUUCGAAUUCUGCUGAGAAAAACCGAGUUGGCAAGUUUGAAUGCUGUGGUAAUGGCGGGUGGAUUUUCAGAGUCGAAAGUAGUAAAGGAAGAAGUCAUGGAAAGUCUUAAAAACACCCCGAAAUAAAGCUGAUUGUUCCUGAGCAUGAAGGUUUAGUUAUUGUGCAAGGAGCUGUAUCAUAUGGAUUUAACCCCAAAAUCAUAUCAACCCGGAAACCAAG